rnacentral:lncRNA from 1 species
ACGGCAGUAGUUCAGAUCCUUUGGAGUCCCAGCCAUCUUAGAGCUCAAGAUAAGUUUGUGAGCAUUGCGAAGCAAAAGAAAAAAAAGAAAGAGAUUCACCAUCUAGCCAGCUGCGUAAAGAAGAAAUCCAUUCCCACCUGUCUGCAUUUGAUUGAACCUCCAUGAACCGCCAAUGCCACGCACCCUGGAGGAACCAGAUUAAAGACCUACAGGAGACAUCAUAUAGAUCUUCUUAGACAGGUGCUUUUCACACCUCUGCAGUUUAUCUAAGGCUCACUUCACAAAGACUUGGAGGGAGCCCUGCCCUUCCUGAAGCACAUGAAGUAAAAUAAACCCAGAGCUAAAGUUUGCAGGUGGACUCUGGAGGCAUUAUUUUGGCCUGCAUUUUGGGUUCAGGUCAGCUCCACAUUCUGGGAGCCAAACUGAAGAGGUUCCUGGGACAAACUCUUCUCAUGGUGAAUGGCAGAACCAUAAGAGGUGGGCAAAGCCUCUGCUUACAUUGCGGCCACUGACAGUCCACUGGCAGAAGCAAGCCAAGGCUAAAGACAACAGAGCUGGGAAUAGACUCACCUCAGGGAAGCCAUGGCAAGGGCAGACAAGGAAGGAAGCAUUGUGUACAAAUAAUGCAAUCUGCCACCCACAGGUAGCCCUCUGGGCCACAGGGUGCCAAAUCUCCAAUAGUGCUGGGGUGGGUGGAGGAGGGGGUCCUCUCCAAUGACUUUCUUUCAGCUCAACAUAAUCUUUCUUUAUAUAAGUUACGCAUUAAAUCCAAUUACAGUCCUGCUGACUGAGGACUCUCUCUUAAGGUGACUUUGCCUACUCAGCUCUGAUGCAGGAGGUCUUGAGUCCAUAAUUCAGCUCUCCAAGGUGAAUCUUCUUUCCUUCCUCCUCUGUUCUUUAGGGAUGCCUCACUACUGCCCCCAGGUAGCUCCUCCACAAGAAGGCCAGUCUUUGAGGGCAGGCACCAUGUGUUAUUCAUCUUAGAAUUUGCUAUGGUUGGAAUGUUUGUGUGCCCCCCCCCCAAAUUCAUUUGUUGAAACCUGCCCCCAAGGUGAUGGUGUUGAGAGAUGAGGCCAUUAAGAGGUGAUUAAGUCAUAACAGCUGUGCCCUCGUGAAUGGGAGCAGUGCCCUAAUAAAAGGGGCUCCAUAGAUCAUCCUAGCCCCUUCCACCAUGCAAGGACAUAGGAAGAUGACACAGUCUAUGAACCAGGCAGCUCUUACUAAACACCAAACCUGCCAGUACUAUGAUCCUGGACUUCCCAGCCUCCAGAACUAGAAGAAAUAAAUGUGGGUUGUUUAUAAGCCACCCAGUCUGUGGCAUCUUGUAAAAGCAACCUGAAUGGAUUAAGGUAGAAUUUCUUCAACUAUCUCAACAUACCUAUAUGGAAUUGAGCAUUGGUUUCCAGGAGCUUCAGGACAAAUGAUGUGAGAGCACCCAUUUUCAUUGUCUGUGUCCCCACUGAACUCCAUGAGAAGGGUGGUAUUUUGAUCAAGGUAUCUGCAGUGCCUGGAAGGGUGAUUGUCAC